AUCCAAUAGUAGCCAUGGGGUGCCGCAUUUGCGGAGAAUAGGGAAUCGGGUGAGAAUCCCGAACGGACCCGCCACUGUAACCGGGGAGAAACCGCCAAAUCCACUGUCCCAACAGGAUGGGAAGGAGGCGGGGACAGAGAGCCGGAAGUCAGGAGACCUGCCACAUGCGCUUAAUGAAC
rnacentral:ncRNA from 2 species